CGGGGUGCACCAGGCGCGAAAACUCUACAAUGCAGGCAACUGCGAUAGGGGAACAUCGAGUGAUCCUCAUAUUGGGGGUCUGUCCCACCGUCUAAAAAACGGUGGUUAGCAAGGGCCGGGCAAGACCGGUGCCAGCCGCCGCGGUAAUACCGGCGGCUCGAGUGGUGGCCGAUAUUAUUGAGUCUAAAGGGUCCGUAGCCGGCUUUGCAAGUCUCUCGGGAAAUCCAGCGGCUUAACCGUUGGUCGUCCGGGGGGUACUACAUUGCUUGGGACUGGGAGAGGUAGGAGGUACUCAGGGGGUAGGAGUGAAAUCCUGUAAUCCUCUGGGGACCACCGGUGGCGAAGGCGUCCUACCAGAACAGGUCCGACGGUGAGGGACGAAAGCUAGGGGCACGAACCGGAUUAGAUACCCGGGUAGUCCUAGCCGUAAACGAUGCUCGCUAGGUGUCACAACAGUCGUGAACUGUUGUGGUGCCGUAGGGAAGCCGUGAAGCGAGCCACUUGGGAAGUACGACCGCAAGGUUGAAACUUAAAGGAAUGG
rnacentral:rRNA from 1 species